rnacentral:rRNA from 1 species
CCUACGGGUGGCAGCAGUGGGGAAUAUUGGACAAUGGGGGGAACCCUGAUCCAGCCAUGCCGCGUGUGUGAAGAAGGCCCUCGGGUUGUAAAGCACUUUCAGUGAGGAAGAACGCCUGGUGGUUAAUACCCAUCAGGAAAGACAUCACUCACAGAAGAAGCACCGGCUAACUCCGUGCCAGCAGCCGCGGUAAUACGGAGGGUGCGAGCGUUAAUCGGAAUUACUGGGCGUAAAGCGCGCGUAGGUGGCUUGAUAAGCCGGUUGUGAAAGCCCCGGGCUCAACCUGGGAACGGCAUCCGGAACUGUCAAGCUAGAGUGCAGGAGAGGAAGGUAGAAUUCCCGGUGUAGCGGUGAAAUGCGGAGAGAUCGGGAGGAAUACCAGUGGCGAAGGCGGCCUUCUGGACUGACACUGACACUGAGGUGCGAAAGCGUGGGUAGCAAACAGGAUUAGAUACCCGGGUAGUC